CAUGGCUCAGAUUGAACGCUGGCGGCAGGCUUAACACAUGCAAGUCGAGCGGGGGAAGGUAGCUUGCUACUGGACCUAGCGGCGGACGGGUGAGUAAUGCUUAGGAAUCUGCCUAUUAGUGGGGGACAACAUUCCGAAAGGAAUGCUAAUACCGCAUACGUCCUACGGGAGAAAGCAGGGGACCUUCGGGCCUUGCGCUAAUAGAUGAGCCUAAGUCGGAUUAGCUAGUUGGUGGGGUAAAGGCCUACCAAGGCGACGAUCUGUAGCGGGUCUGAGAGGAUGAUCCGCCACACUGGGACUGAGACACGGCCCAGACUCCUACGGGAGGCAGCAGUGGGGAAUAUUGGACAAUGGGGGGAACCCUGAUCCAGCCAUGCCGCGUGUGUGAAGAAGGCCUUAUGGUUGUAAAGCACUUUAAGCGAGGAGGAGGCUACUAGUAUUAAUACUACUGGAUAGUGGACGUUACUCGCAGAAUAAGCACCGGCUAACUCUGUGCCAGCAGCCGCGGUAAUACAGAGGGUGCGAGCGUUAAUCGGAUUUACUGGGCGUAAAGCGUGCGUAGGCGGCCAUUUAAGUCAAAUGUGAAAUCCCCGAGCUUAACUUGGGAAUUGCAUUCGAUACUGGAUGGCUAGAGUAUGGGAGAGGAUGGUAGAAUUCCAGGUGUAGCGGUGAAAUGCGUAGAGAUCUGGAGGAAUACCGAUGGCGAAGGCAGCCAUCUGGCCUAAUACUGACGCUGAGGUACGAAAGCAUGGGGAGCAAACAGGAUUAGAUACCCUGGUAGUCCAUGCCGUAAACGAUGUCUACUAGCCGUUGGG
rnacentral:rRNA from 1 species